UAGUGUUCUUACUGUAAGUUGCUCUGGAUAAGAGCAUCUGCUAAAUGACUUGAA
rfam:Salmo salar isolate Sally breed double haploid chromosome ssa23, whole genome shotgun sequence.